GAUAUCGAAGGAUUAGCUUAAUUCAUAAUC
rnacentral:ncRNA from 1 species